UACAGGACGAUUUCCAGAAUCGAACCGGAGUGGUCCGAUUGCCGUCUCUCCGUAAGAAGAGUUCGAGCGCCGGGUCACUAGAUCGGGGGCGGAGCCGACGGAUCCCAACCAAGGGCGACUUGGAGGCCAAUUGCUGGUUGAUUGAUCGAUUUUCUAUCUUCCUCGCGCCGCUGCGCGUACGAUCAGUGACAGUGAGGAGAACCGGUGAAUGCUUUCAUUUGUUGGUCGCCGGCGCCGAGUGUUUGGAGUCUGUACAAACUGGCGGCGCUGCUCGAGCUCGCCGCGGUGGAUGAGGAUGGCAGCAUGAAGGAAGCGCUGGAGGGGGCGGGCGAGGAUCUGGCCGAUCAUUCGGCCUCUGCUAUGGCCCGAGAAGGUGUUGGAUUUGGGGUCUCGCAACUUCUUCUCUGCGCCAGCAUAUUCUGAAUGGAUUAUCUGUAUCUCGCACUGCCGCCUCCACAGUGCUCCCUCUCGCUGAACCUCAAGAGUUAAGAGUGUUCAUACAUGCUUAGCACUUCAGUUUCAGAUACAUGUCCAGUUCAACUGAAGGCUGGUUUGACACCAGGUGGUGUGGAGGUACCUAGCAGCCUUGUCGACAGGGAAAUGCUAGACAGGAUCAAGAGUAUGCCAGAAGAGUUUCAGCCAGCCACCCCCAAGGGGCCUCACCCAAAAUGUGUUACAUGUCCCAUGUGGAGUGCUGGUCCUGGCCCUUCAAAUACCCACUUUAAGGUUGUCAUUUCACAUAAUCCCUUUAGUGGAAUGUGAAGUCUGAAUGGAUUGCAUGGAUCAGACCUCACCAUUUAUCCAUGUCAUGUACUGAGCUCGGACCCUAUUAUAACUGAUGACUUACUGAAGUGGAAACAGACAAUGGAUUCCUGGGGUGCAAAAAUUAUUGCUGCAAUUGAGGUUGUUGCUGAGAUGGCUGCGAUUUGAUUUGGCUUUGUCAAAGGAUGUGUUUGCCUCUUUGAUGAAGGAGUUAGUAUUUUAAUUCUCUGCAGUUGUUGUAAAAUUUUCUGAUAUACAUGUUCCUAAAGUAAUGCAUAGCCUCAGCAUUUUCAGUACUACAAGUAAUACAGGCUAGCCUUGCCAUUUUUUCUGGAUACUGAAUUGAUCUACACUCGUGGGUUGAUGGAACGAUAUGCUUGUUCAUAUUAGUUUUCUAAAGGUCAGAGCUAUCGGUAUUAAUUAUGGUAUAGUCUUCAAUAUUUUUUUCUCACUUACAAGUGCUGAUUUUCAUAAUAUAGUUGAUCUCGUCGUCAUAUAAAUCAAGCUCUAAUAUACGAGUUCUAAUGUAAAGCACCUGUGUGUAAGAGUGUAAAACAAAAUACAAAAAAACAUGAAAAGGAUACAACUCUCAGUAUUUUUGAUGUGUUCCGUUUGUACAGUUGGAGUGGCUUACUGGUGGCGAGUGUUUAGCUCGAUUGCAGUGACCAAGUAGCUAAAGAGUCAAAUCAAAGCCCUGUUGAGGGUCUCGUCAAUACUAUUCUCACACAUUGCUUCUGAUGCCACGCUUAAACCAUUGGGCCACUUUGGUGAAGCAAC